AACGAACGCUGGCGGCAGGCCUAACACAUGCAAGUCGAGCGCGCCCUUCGGGGUGAGCGGCGGACGGGUGAGUAACGCGUGGGAACGUGCCCUUUUCUACGGAAUAGCCUCGGGAAACUGAGAGUAAUACCGUAUACGCCCUUUGGGGGAAAGAUUUAUCGGAAAAGGAUCGGCCCGCGUUGGAUUAGGUAGUUGGUGGGGUAAUGGCCUACCAAGCCGACGAUCCAUAGCUGGUUUGAGAGGAUGAUCAGCCACACUGGGACUGAGACACGGCCCAGACUCCUACGGGAGGCAGCAGUGGGGAAUCUUAGACAAUGGGGGCAACCCUGAUCUAGCCAUGCCGCGUGAGUGAUGAAGGCCUUAGGGUUGUAAAGCUCUUUCAGCUGGGAAGAUAAUGACGGUACCAGCAGAAGAAGCCCCGGCUAACUUCGUG
rnacentral:rRNA from 1 species